rnacentral:rRNA from 1 species
GACGAACGCUGGCGGCGUGCUUAACACAUGCAAGUCGAACGGAAAGGCCCAGCUUGCUGGGUGCUCGAGUGGCGAACGGGUGAGUAACACGUGGGUGAUCUGCCCCUAACUUCGGGAUAAGCUUGGGAAACUGGGUCUAAUACCGGAUAGGACAAUCGUUUAGUGUCGGUUGUGGAAAGUUUUUUCGGUUAGGGAUGAGCCCGCGGCCUAUCAGCUUGUUGGUGGGGUAAUGGCCUACCAAGGCGUCGACGGGUAGCCGGCCUGAGAGGGUGGACGGCCACAUUGGGACUGAGAUACGGCCCAGACUCCUACGGGAGGCAGCAGUGGGGAAUAUUGCACAAUGGGCGCAAGCCUGAUGCAGCGACGCCGCGUGGGGGAUGACGGCCUUCGGGUUGUAAACCUCUUUCGACAGGGACGAAGCGUUGGUGACGGUACCUGGAUAAGAAGCACCGGCUAACUACGUG